UAUGUAGGGAGCAAGCGUUGUCCGGAAUCAUUGGGCGUAAAGCGCGCGUAGGCGGCCCUGUAAGUCCGUUGUGAAAGUCAAAGGCUCAACCUUUGAAAGCCGAUGGAUACUGCAGGGCUAGAGUCCGGAAGAGGCGAGUGGAAUUCCUGGUGUAGCGGUGGAAUGCGCAGAUAUCAGGAGGAACACCAAUAGCGAAGGCAGCUCGCUGGGACGGUACUGACGCUAAGGCGCGAAAGCGUGGGGAGCGAACAGG
rnacentral:rRNA from 1 species